UCCAGCAGACACAAAAACACGAAAACAAGUGUUAUGAAUUGAAUUAUCAAAUCAAUCAACCACAAUUUUUUAGUGUUUUUGCUCGAGUUAACUUUAAUUAAUUAGCUUUAAUUAGUUAAUUGUUUACGAUAAUUUAUCGAGAUUUCUUCACCUUGUGGGCGUAAGAAGAUCCAACAAAUCUCACAUUGACAUUGAUAAGCUAAAUAUUGAGGGGAUAAGGAGUGAUGGACGCCGAACUAAACCGAAAAACGCUCGAAUUGCGAGAAACCGGAUCGCAACCGAACCUUGAAGCAAAUCCGGUUUACCCGGUGCUCAACUUGGGUGAACCAGCUGCAUUGUCGACGGAACCAUUGUCCAUUCAUCGCGGUGGGAAGCAGGCAUCUCCUUGUGCGAGUCCGACGCAUCCCAACUCCCCCGGGGGACUACAUAUUCCGCAUAUCUUUCAUGGAGGUAACGUCAUCACGAAACGCAACCGCUCCAACUCCACUUAUGAACGGGCAAAGGACAAUCCCAUCGAGCAUGGCAUCAUCAAAUAUUUCAACAGAAGCAAAGGGCACGGUUUCAUUGUCAAAGACCAGCGAGAGGGAGAGGAAAUAUUUGUCCAUAUUUCCGACAUUGAAGGAGAACUGGUUCCACGAACAGGGGACCAAGUGACGUACCGACUUUGUCCAAUUCCACCAAAAUUGGACAAAUUCCAAGCUAUUCACGUUCGUAUUGUCAAUUUUACGGAAGAAGUUCAUCUCCGAUGGGAUUCGCCCCUCCGGGAAGAGGAAAAGUCCGAGAUUCUUCCCAACCACUAUGAGAUCUAAGUAAGAUCAAGUCUUGAGUGUCUCGCGUCUUAAUAAAUGACACUCGUUGGACAUCACCCAGGACUUGUAGACUUCAGCUCAGCCAACUUUAUUAAAAUUACUCGAGUUAUUUUAGGUUUUCUUAGUUCGUCGCGUUUUUAGUUAACAAUUUCGAGAUCAGCCACAUUAGUAUAUUUUAGCCUUUUGCCAGACCCUUAUGUCACGUAACCUGAACAAAUCAUCGACCUACUACCUUUGAUUCAUUUUUCUUGUUCCGGUAUCCUUCAGUUCCUUCACACAAAAUUCAAAUUUUAUGAAUCGAAAACAGCUAAUGGACAACCCUGCCUAUUGCAUCUUGCACAAAGUAUUAGUUCAAAAUUCAAGAAAUUCCAUUAUAUUUUUGUCAACGGAUAUUGCAAAAUUGUAUUUCAUAAAUGUACAGAAUUCAAUCGUCAAACAGUUCUUUCGGUAUUCAGGUCUGACAAAUUUUAAAAUAGCAACAUUUUCAUGCAAAAAUGGAUAUACUUGCUUUUGUUUUUUAUUAUACGGCCCUCGACGUCAUCACUCGUCUCAUCACUGAUAGCUUUGCAAUGAUGUCUUCGAGGGCAGUAUAAUAAAAAACAAGAGUCGUAAUCAAUUAAUUAAUUAAGGAACGAUUGUUAAAAAUAUCUAGUGUAGAGAUGAAAUGAAUGAUACGGUGUUAUAGUAUUUCGCAUCGAUGCCACCGAAUUUAAUUUAAAAAAUUGCAAAAUGAACUGCGGUUGCAUGGAUCACCUUACCAUAGCUAUUUUUGAAUUAUAUGCAACCACCCCCCCUUAAAAAAUGGGGGUAAAAAAUUGGGAAAAAUGAGAAAGCUAAUGUACACUCCUUAAAAAAAGAAUUAGACCUCAAGUUGUAUUUGACAUUUUAAUUCCCCCAUAAAUACAAACAUUUUGAUGCAGAAAAAGUUUCAAAAUUUGAAAAUCGGCGGUUUUUUUGCCUACAUACAAAUCACUAAAAAACUCCUUGUUCCGGUCAUUUCUAGUCUGACAACCUGAUGCUAGAUUUUUCUCCUUGAGAAGAGCUACAUUUUCAGCUUUUGUUGGCCGAGUAGAAAUGACCGGAACAAUGAGUUUUUUGGGGUCAAAGUUUCUGAGGGAGGGGCUUAUUUUGCAAGAGCCGUAACAUACAUACAUACAUAGUAUGGCUGCUUGUGAAAUACUACCCAUAAAAAUAAUGAUAAAGAAUAAAGUUAUUAAAGUAGUAAAAUUAA